UACGUAGGGGGGCAAGCGUUGUCCGGAUUUAUUGGGCGUAAAGAGCGUGUAGGCGGUUAUACAGGUCCGCUGUGAAAACUUGGGGCUUAACCCCGAGCCUGCGGUCGAUACGGGCAGACUUGAGUUCGGCAGGGGAGACUGGAAUUCCUGGUGUAGCGGUGAAAUGCGCAGAUAUCAGGAGGAACACCGGUGCGAAGGCGGGUCUCUGGGCCGAUACUGACGCUGAGGAGCGAAAGCGUGGGGUAGCAAACAGGAUUAGAACCUAC
rnacentral:rRNA from 1 species